CCUACGGGAGACAGCAGUGGGGAAUAUUGGGCAAUGGGCGCAAGCCUGACCCAGCAACGCCGCGUGAAGGAAGAAGGCGUUCGGGUUGUAAACUUCUUUUAAGGGGGAAGAGCAGAAGACGGUACCCCUUGAAUAAGCCACGGCUAACUACGUGCCAGCAGCCGCGGUAUUACGUAGGUGGCAAGCGUUGUCCGGAUUUACUGGGUGUAAAGGGCGUGUAGCCGGAGAGACAAGUCAGAUGUGAAAGCCACGGGCUCAACCCGUGAACUGCCUUUGAAACUGUUUCCCUUGAGUGUCGGAGAGGUAAUCGGAAUGCCUUGUGUAGCGGUGAAAUGCAUAGAUAUAAGGCAGAACACCAGUGGCGAAGGCAGAUUACUAGACGAUAACUGACGGUGAGGCGCGAAAGCGUGGGGAGCAAACAGGAUUAGAUACCCCUGUAGUC
rnacentral:rRNA from 1 species